GCCCCAGGGCUGAGCUGUCCAGGUUCCUUAGAAGCUCUGAAGCGCUGCAGAUGCCCUGGCUUCCAGACAUCACUAUUAUUAACUCGGUGGACAGUCGUGGAGAGUUCAGCCAAGGCCUCAGGUAGCACGGGGAGAGAAACCAAUAGCCUGGUCAGCCAGGCCUCUUCCGGAUACUGGGCUUCUCAGAGACAACCCCUAGCCUCACAGUCAGAUUCGGCUAUUUAUUGCAGCAGGUGAAAAUACAUAAUGGUAGGUUACUUCUCUGUCACUGUUCUAAGAACUGCACACGCAGUGGUAAAGAAAAUGAGGCUGCAUUAAAGUAAAGGGAGGUGAAAAGAGAUACCUGGUAGCUAUUGGGUAGCGAAUCAAAAGAGGGAGAAGUGGUAGACUGCAUAGACGAAGCUUAUUUAGGAAACGAAGGAAAAAUGCAGACAUCUGGGAAAAGUGUGUUCCUGUCGGAACAUUAGGAGCAAAACUCUUGGAUCAGGAAUUACCUGAGGCAGUAAGGAUAUUAGAGGCCGUGGUAAGCGCUUUGGAUCUCUCUGGAUGCUGCAGGAAGCAAGCUGUUAAGAACUCAGAAACAAGGAGAGGCACAAGCUUUCUUUUGUUGUUGUUAGGUUGUUGGUUGUGUGUGUGUGUUGUCACACAUUCCAAUAUUUGUUGCCUACGAAAUAUAAAAUGAACCAAGAAGCCUGUUCUUGUAAAUUCUCUGAAUAAUCUGCUCUGUGUUUGGAGGUAUUCUAAAAUGACCUUGUGUGAAAGCUAAUUUGUCUUUUACAGUUAGUAGUGCCUGCUGCCUUUUGGAGAACAGGCUGAGAGACAGGAAGAACAAACACAAAUUUAUCAAAAAGGUAUUGCAUUUUGUGCAGAGGGAAAUGAUGACUUCGACUGGAAAUGAAAUAGCAAGUAAAAAUUGGGACUACACACAUUUUGAAGGGGUGACCAGAGUGAUUUACUAAUGAAUUAUAUGUUGGUCACUGUUUUUCAAAUCUGGAAUGUCUCUCAGAGGUUCAUGUGUUAAAAACUUAUUGCAUCUUUGUUUCUUUGAAUUCCUCUUCUUGUGUCAGCAGUGUUGUGUAAUUUUUCCAGGGGCUAUGUAAACAAUUUCUAUUUCCUCCAGUUAGGACACCACCAACAGACCAAGAAUUACAGGAAAAUACAUGAGAGAUUCCUUAUAAGAACAUGGACGAGUCAGGGGCAGCAUCAUCACUGGAAACCACACUCUAGCAUGGGUGAGUAGUCCCAAAUAUCUAAAUAUUGCACAUGUAGAGCUUUGCACAACUUACAUCUUGACUGGUCAGAGAGUCCUGUGGGUUUUUUCUUUGUUUGUUCUGCUUUUUCUUGUUUGUUUGUUUGUUUUAUUUUUUGAGACACAGUUUGUGUGUGUGUGUGUGUGUGUGUGUGUGUGUGUGUGUGUGUGUGUAGUCCUAGCUGUCCUGGAACUCACACUGUAGACCAGGCUGGCCUCCACCUCAGAGAUCCACCUGCCUCUGCCUCUCAAGUACUAGGAUUAUAUGCAAGUGCCACCACUACCCGCCUUAUAUUCUUACUACUUUUAUAAACUUGUGGAGGGGCCUUAUGAAUUUUCUAGGUUUCAGAAUCUUUCUGAGUCUUGUAAGAUAAAAAACAGGUUGUGUGUGUGUGUGUACAUGUAGGCAUACAUGUUGGUGCCCACAGAAUCCCAAAGAGGUCAUCAGAUCUCUGGAACUGGAGUUAUAGAUUCUUGUGGACCUCUCAAUGUGGGUAUGAGGAACCUAACUUGGGUCCUCGGAAAGGGCUUGUAACUGCUAGUUACCUCUCUAGCAAUACCUUGUAAGUUGUGUUUAUUUCCUGAGCCUUAUAAGUUUUACUUCCCUAAUGUUGGUAGCUUCCCUACUUCCUCUAGGUGGAAAUGCAUCAAUUCAGGGGAAGUAGCUACUCAACUUGAGAACACCCAUUGUGCGGCUCUCUGUUUUGUUUUGCCCAUUGUUAAGUCAACCUAAUGCUGACUGGAAAAGUUUCACUGUGGCUUCUUGAUGACAUCAUGAUAUGCUCUGAAUUUUUCCAAGGCUGCCUGCCACAGAUAUGCUGUUACUGCAAUAGUUCUGGCAUCCUCUGCUCUAAAGGGCAGCUUGUACACCCUCGAGGAAUAUAGCAUGUCCCAAUCUUUUACAGUGGAAAUGGAAUUAGUGCCUCCAGUCUUAUGGCUGGAUACAUAGAAAUGGGUUAUGCCUAAAUGCAUAAACUUCAGCUAUGGUCACCACCCUUUACUCAGCCUAGGAUAAAUACAUUUUUCCCCUUGGGGUUACUUUGUCUGCUUUCCUACUUUUUACCCAAUCCUUGAGUGACUGCUGGUCCAUGGAAAACUGAAUCUGUCAUCGUUAUGGUACAUAUUGGGAAGCUGGACAUCUAACAUACGCAAUAUCUAUACAGAAGACAAUGGAACUAGAGGAAUUUGGAGAAGAACUUUAUUGGCUGUCAUUGUGUGAUGCCAGCUAUACACUCAUUCCUAAAAAGUUUUUUAAGUGUGUGGAAUUGGUUAACAAGGAGGGAAACACUGUAGCUUUGUCAACUAACAAUUCCAAUCAGGCAGUUUUUCAGGAAUACCUACUACCAAGAACAAGGAAUGGACCAUCCAUCAUACAUGUGACUUUUACUGUGUUUUGGUGGGGUUUUUUUGUUUGUUUGUUUUUUGUUUUUUCGAGACAGGGUUUCUCUGUGUAACUCUGGCUGUCCUGGAACUCACUCUGUAGACCAGGCUGGCCUCAAACUCAGAAAUCUGCCUGCCUCUGCCUCCCAAGUGCUGGGAUUAAAGGCGUGCGCCACCACUGCCCAGCUUUACUGUGUUUUUGAGCAAAACAUUUGUAUGCCUUAAAAGAUAAUCUGCUCCUCACUGUGCUGGGCACCUGUACAGCAGCUCAGUGCUUUAUUAGUGGGAGGGCUGGUUUGGUCCAGUGAAGAAUAAAUGGACAAUGCCUCUUCAUGUGUGGAGUACUACUAUCAACAAAAACUAUAGCUGGGACUAAAAGGCAGCUCAGCAGUCAUGCACCUUGGCUGGUCUUCUAGAUGUCUUAGGUUCAACCCGAAGCACUCACAUGGUGUCUCAUAACAAUCUCUUCUGUUUUAAGAGAAGAUCUGGUGCCCUCUCUGGCCUCUGCAGGUACCAAACACACAUGACGUGCUGAGACAUACAUGUAGGCUAAACAUCCAUACAAAUAAGUUAAAACUGCAUGACUUUCUCUACUAGUUGGAGAAUAUGGUUUUGGUAUAUGUUGUUUUCAUGUGUCAGAGGCAAAUGGUUCGGUGUAUAUCUCUUAGCCCCUUCACCAUCAUGUUUGGGCAUCAGAACUAUUUUCCAUAUUUGAAUUCUGAUUUGAUGUUGGACCUCCUCUAGGGUCUAUAACCUCUCCAGCUAUGAGUAGUCAGGUUAUUUGACAGUACCGGGCAUGAAUUCACACAUAUUGAUAAGCCCUAAAGACCAGUUAGACAGCAGUUAGCUACCAGCCACGACUAUUGCUCCAUUGGGAUACCUUGUCAGGGCUCACAUUGGUAUGGUUUGUAGGCUUUUCAGCUGGGGUGGAAUUUUGACUGCUUGUCUCCCUUGGAAGCUUGCUCUACACUUUUCAAAUCCUAUGAAAGCUAGGUUCUCUUAAGGAGGUUGUUUCUAGUCAGUUCCAGCUCAAUUUCUCCAAAUUUUGUGUUCCACAUGUGUGGUGUCUUCAGUAAUAGGGUCUUAACUUCAAGUUCUGGGAAGCAACCAAGGACAACAGGUAUAGACAUACUAUUUAGGGAGUUUAUUAGGUCCCCCCCCCCAACUCCCAACAGCUCAAAGGGAUGUUCCCCUGUCUGGCACUGACGUUUUUGUUAGUUUUUGGCUCUUGUGAGGAACUUUAUCACCCCGUAAGGUGUUACUGCAUAUGAAUUUUAUGUGUAUGUAUAUAUGCAUGCAUGUAUACACAUGCUUCCUGUUGCUUUUUCAAAUGUGCCUGGUGCUAUUUACCUCUUUAUCUCUGUAUGUGAAUAUUUUUUCCUCAGUUGUUGGUGCUGUUUGGGAAGGUUGUGGACCCUCUAGGAGGUGGAGCUUUGCUGUAGUCAUCCCAUUUCACAUUCGUUCUCUCUGUUGUGUGUGGAUAAGAUGUGACCACCCAGCUUCUCACUGGAGCCACAGUGGUUUUUUUCCCCCUUCCACUUUUUUGACACAGGGUUUGUGUAUCUCUGGCUGUCCUGCAAUUAGCCCUCUGUCAACCCAGCUAGCAUCAAACUCAGAGAUCCACCUGCCUCCGCCUCCUGAGUGCUGGGGUUAAAGCCACGCACCACUACUACCUGCCUCUAUUCAUGUCUUCCCUGUUGUGAUAGAUUGUAUUUCUCUUGAACUGUAAACCAAAAUAAACCAUUUUCUCC
rnacentral:lncRNA from 1 species